GCGCGGAGGAUGUCUUCUCCAGAGGUUGGAGGGUCUCACGUUUCUGCCCGGUUUUCUCUUAAUCCCGAAAAUAGCAAAGCUGCUGCUUGCCACGCGUCAGGCCGGGCGCUACACCUACUUCUCAUCAAGUGCAUUUUAUAGAAAAGAGCCAACUUCUAACAAGCAAGUCAGUGGGGAAGCUGGCAGGAAGUUGCAAAUCAAGAUCAUGUGACAUUGUGCUUAACCCAUAGUGAUUCGCUUAAUGACCAUGCAGGAACUGAAGAACUGAUGUCAUAAGGCAGCUGCAGUCAUGUGAGGUUUCACUUAUGACCACAUCACUUAGCAACAAAAUUGCAGUCUCAACUGUAGAUGCUUUUCUCCAUUUUCUUUAUUGUAAAGAUGAAGAUCUGCCAUUUGUUCUCCAAGUUUUGCUGAAUAUCUAGAAGGAGAAGAAAACAAACUCCAAUGUUAUGGACCAUGUGGUUCCAAAUCAGCCUGAACAGAGAUUUUAUACACAUGCAUGCUCACACAUAUAUAAUUUAGAAAAUAAUUACUGUAUCUGCACAACACAUUAGCCUCUCGUUACCCUCUCAAUAGUUUAUUAAUCAUCAGCAAUCGGUGUAAGCUUAGUAUUAUUACAAAUGUUCUGUCCAUAGAGUUUUAUCUCUUGACAGGGGUUUCAGGACACUUAGCUUUCCACCACCCCUCUCUCCUCCAGGAAAACAUAAAAAUCCUGAUCCCUAAGAUUAUUUUGCUCCCAGUCAGACACUGUUUCAUGGUAGUAACAUGCAGACUCUUUUCAGAACUGCCAUUGUUAAAAGAAGAGGGAUGUUAAUUAGAGAAGCAACAUCUUAAAAUAAAGCCUUUAACAUACUUG